rnacentral:lncRNA from 1 species
UAUAGGGAUGGUGCCAAUGGGGAGGCUAGUGGUAGUACUCGGCACUAUUUGACCCAACUAUUCGGUGUAGGGCAUAUUAGGGACGGCACAAGAGGGAGGCUAGUGGUAGUACCUCGUGCCCCUUCCCAACUCCACCGGAAGGGAGCAAAUAGAGUAUAGAGCAUAAGAAAGUUAUAAAUGAAAAACAAAGUAAAUGAAAGUAGAAUUAAGUCAAAUUUUUUUUAAUCACUUGAAAACACAAUUUAAGGAUGAAAUCAAUGCAAGAUUAUAUUUAAUUAGGGGGAGUUUAUUUGAAAAGAAUUGAUUUUGAUCCUUGACAUGCUUGUUCUUAUUAUGUUAAUGCAUGAUUUAACACAUGAGAUGUUUUUGCAUAUGGUAUGAUGUCUUGAUUUAUGGGUUCUCAAUAUUUUGUAAUGCUUCAUACUUGGACAAUUUGAUUGAAUGUUUGAAUUGCUGCAUAACAUCUUUUGUUUGACCCUAUUGAAAAGAAAUUUCAGAUUUGUCAUUCACAAUCAUUGUUAAAAUCUGAAAGCUAAAUAGAAUUGUAGAAAGGAGAAGAGAAGAAUAUCUCUAUUUAGGGAAAAUAAAUUGAUCUUGAUCUAUCUUUCUACUCGCCUAACUUUGAUACAUAAUGUCCUAAUACUUGUUAAAAUAUCCUUUAUUUUGUAUCAAAACUCAAAAUUAAACACAAAGAUUCUGAAAGUGCUUUAAUGUUAUUGAAAUAUGUAUUUUUCAAUCGUAAUAAUUUAAGAUGAGCUACAAUGUGAAAGAUACAUAUCUCAAAUUAUGACUUAAAAGGGCUCUAUUGAAAAUCUUUAUGAAAUUCAGAAUUGGAUUUUGUAUAAAAGCUUAAACUCCAUAUGAUUACUAAAUAAAAUGUUAAUGUAAGAAAAACAGAAUUUAUUUUGAUUGCUCCGAUACGCAUCCGA